rnacentral:lncRNA from 1 species
GACAUGAAUAUGUAAUAAAUGAAGAAUUUGGAAUGAAAUGAAAAAUUAAAUGAUGUAUGUCUGAGUAUAUUCAGUUGCCAAAAUAAGCUGAAGUCUGACAAUUGCUCAGUAGGACCAGACACGGGCCUGCUCACUUGGUUUCACUUGCCAAUGACCACUCUCUUGAUACAUCCCCCAGGGCAGGUGUGCAUGAAGGAAGGAGCAGCUGCCGCACCAUGCAUUUGAGCUGAGAGCCGGGGCUGUAGAUGGUGUCUGUAAACAGGAGUGGACGUA